CCUACGGGAGGCAGCAGUAGGGAAUAUUGGGCAAUGGAGGCAACUCUGACCCAGCCAUGCCGCGUGCAGGAAGAAGGCCCUCUGGGUUGUAAACUGCUUUUGAACGGGAAGAAAAGCCCAUGCGUGGGUCUAUGACGGUACCGUUAGAAUAAGCCACGGCUAACUACGUGCCAGCAGCCGCGGUAAUACGUAGGUGGCAAGCGUUGUCCGGAUUUAUUGGGUUUAAAGGGUGCGUAGGCGGCCCUGUAAGUCAGUGGUGAAAUAUCGCAGCUCAACUGUGAGGGUGCCAUUGAUACUGCAGGGCUUGAGUGGAGUCGGGGUGGCCGGAAUUUACGGUGUAGCGGUGAAAUGCAUAGAUACCGUAAAGAACACCGAUAGCGAAGGCAGGCCACUGGGCUCCAACUGACGCUGAGGCACGAAAGCGUGGGGAUCAAACAGGAUUAGAUACCCUGGUAGUCCACGCCGUAAACGAUGUUCACUCGGUGUCGGCACACAAGUUGCCGGUGCCUUAGGGAACCGUUAAGUGAACCACCUGGGAGUACGCCGGCAACGGUGAAACUUAAGGAAUUGACGG
rnacentral:rRNA from 1 species